ACCACUUCGGUGGGGAUUAGUGGCGAACGGGUGAGUAACACGUGGGCAAUCUGCCCUGCACUCUGGGACAAGCCCUGGAAACGGGGUCUAAUACCGGAUACAACCACUGACCGCAUGGUCGGGUGGUGGAAAGCUCCGGCGGUGCAGGAUGAGCCCGCGGCCUAUCAGCUUGUUGGUGAGGUAGUGGCUCACCAAGGCGACGACGGGUAGCCGGCCUGAGAGGGCGACCGGCCACACUGGGACUGAGACACGGCCCAGACUCCUACGGGAGGCAGCAGUGGGGAAUAUUGCACAAUGGGCGAAAGCCUGAUGCAGCGACGCCGCGUGAGGGAUGACGGCCUUCGGGUUGUAAACCUCUUUCAGCAGGGAAGAAGCGAAAGUGACGGUACCUGCAGAAGAAGCGCCGGCUAACUACGUGCCAGCAGCCGCGGUAAUACGUAGGGCGCAAGCGUUGUCCGGAAUUAUUGGGCGUAAAGAGCUCGUAGGCGGCUUGUCGCGUCGGUUGUGAAAGCCCGGGGCUUAACCCCGGGUCUGCAGUCGAUACGGGCAGGCUAGAGUUCGGUAGGGGAGAUCGGAAUUCCUGGUGUAGCGGUGAAAUGCGCAGAUAUCAGGAGGAACACCGGUGGCGAAGGCGGAUCUCUGGGCCGAUACUGACGCUGAGGAGCGAAAGCGUGGGGAGCGAACAGGAUUAGAUACCCUGGUAGUCCACGCCGUAAACGGUGGGCACUAGGUGUGGGCAACAUUCCACGUUGUCCGUGCCGCAGCUAACGCAUUAAGUGCCCCGCCUG
rnacentral:rRNA from 2 species